ACUACCGUUGAAAAGUUAGCGGAUGACCUGUGGAUCGGAGUGAAAGGCUAAUCAAGCUCGGAGAUAGCUGGUUCUCCUCGAAAGCUAUUUAGGUAGCGCCUCAUGUAUCACUGUAGGGGGUAGAGCACUGUUUCGGCUAGGGGGUCAUCCCGACUUACCAAACCGAUGCAAACUCCGAAUACCUACAAGUGCCGAGCAUGGGAGACACACGGCGGGUGCUAACGUCCGUCGUGAA
rnacentral:ncRNA from 1 species